rnacentral:rRNA from 1 species
GACGAACGCUGGCGGCGCGCUUAACACAUGCAAGUCGAACGGAAAGGCCUGCUUUCCCUUGUGGAUUGCGGGUACUCGAGUGGCGAACGGGUGAGUAACACGUGAGUGAUCUGCCCCCAACUUGGGUAUAAGCCUGGGAAACUGGGUCUAAUUCCCGAUAGGCCUGCAGGGUGGUGCCUGUUGUGGAACACGAUUUUCUAGUGGUUGGGGAUGAGCUCGCGGCCUAUCAGCUUGUUGGUGGGGUAAUGGCCUACCAAGGCGGCGACGGGUAGCCGGCCUGAGAGGGUGGACGGGCACAUUGGGACUGAGAUACAGCCCAGAAUAAGACGGGAGGCAGCAGUGGGGAAUAGUGCACAAUGGGCGGAAGCCUGAUGCAGCGACGCCGCGUGGGGGAUGACGGCCUUCGGGUGGUAAACUCCUUUCGACCGCGAGGAAGCCACCUGGUUGGAAGGGUGGUGACGGUAGUGGUAGAAGAAGCACCGGCUAACUACGUG